rnacentral:rRNA from 1 species
GUGGGGAAUAUUGGACAAUGGGGGGAACCCUGAUCCAGCCAUGCCGCGUGUGUGAAGAAGGCCUUUUGGUUGUAAAGCACUUUAAGUGGGGAGGAGGCUUACCUGGUUAAUACCUGGGCUAAGUGGACGUUACCCACAGAAUAAGCACCGGCUAACUCUGUGCCAGCAGCCGCGGUAAUACAGAGGGUGCGAGCGUUAAUCGGAUUUACUGGGCGUAAAGCGCGCGUAGGUGGUUAAUUAAGUCAAAUGUGAAAUCCCCGAGCUUAACUUGGGAAUUGCAUUCGAUACUGGUUAGCUAGAGUAUGGGAGAGGAUGGUAGAAUUCCAGGUGUAGCGGUGAAAUGCGUAGAGAUCUGGAGGAAUACCGAUGGCGAAGGCAGCCAUCUGGCCUAAUACUGACACUGAGGUGCGAAAGCAUGGGGAGCAA